UUACCUUCAACCUUUACCCCACCAGGAAGUGACUAGUCUCUUAUGAUUUCUGCCAUUUCACACCGAAAGCUAAAGAGUCCGUGUUUUGGAGAUCAGUGGAGGACACUGUAAAUGAAGAUUUUAGAGAAGUGUGUUGACCAUAAAAGGUUUGAUUUUGAUUGUAAUUAUAAUUUACUUUUCAGAACGUGAGAAAGUGAAAGUAAAUUGUAGAUCAUUGCAGCUUUGACAAGAACAGAAAAUGGAUCCCAAAUCUGUGGAAGAGCUUUCUUGUCCCGUGUGCUGUGAAAUCUUCAAGGAUCCUGUUCUUCUGUCCUGUAGUCACAGUUUCUGUAAAGAGUGUCUUCAACAGUUCUGGAGAACCAAGAAAACUCAGGAGUGUCCCGUCUGCAGAAGAAGAUCCUCAAAAGACCUGCCUCCACGUAAUCUAGCAUUAAAAAACUUGUGUGAUUCACUGAGAAAGGAGAGGAACGAGAGGCGCUCAUCAGGAUCUGAGGAGAUCUGCAGUUUACACAGUGAGAAACUCAAACUCUUCUGUCUGGAGGACAAACAGCCGGUGUGUGUAGUGUGUAGAGACUCAGAGAAACAUGUCAGUCACACAAUCAGACCCAUCGGAGAAGUGAUCUCAUCUCACAAGGACGAAGUGAACACAGCGCUGACAUCUUUACAAAACAAGCUCAAACAUGCAGAAAAAAAGAAAGCAGAGUGUGAGAAAACCGUUCAACACAUCAAGUCUCAAGCGGAGCACACCGAGCGUCAGAUUAAAGAGGAGUUUGAGAAGCUUCAUCAGUUUCUCAGAGAUGAAGAAGAAGCUACAAUCACUGCACUGAGGGAGGAAGAGGAGCAGAAGCAGCAGAUGAUGAAGGAGAAGCUGGAGGAGAUGAACAGACACAUCUCUGCUCUUUCACACACAAUCACAGACACGGAGGAGAUGAUGAAGGACAGCGAUGCCUGCUUUCUGAAGAACUUCAGCAUCACGAUGGAAAGAGUCCGGAUCUCAUCACAGCCGGAUCCUCAGAUGAGUUCUGGAGCUUUGAUUCAUGUGCCACAUUACUUGAGUAACCUGCGCUUCAGAGUCUGGAGCAAGAUGCAGGAAACUCUCCAACACACUCCAUUGACUCUAGAUCCAAACACAGCACAUCCUCUGCUCACUCUCUCUUCUGAUUUGACCAGUGUAUCGUACAGUGAUUUAUAUCAAAAUCUUCCUGAUAAUCCAGAGAGGAUUGAGAGGUAUGCAUGUGUUCUGGGAUCGGAGGGCUUUAACUCAGGGACACACUGCUGGGAUGUGGAGGUUGGAGACAAUACAUACUGGGUUGUUGGAAUAACCACAGCAUCAAACCAAAGGAAGGGAGAGGUUUUCUUUAACUCUAAUGUCUGGCUUGUGCGGUACAUGAAGAGUAAAUACUGCUCACAAUCCCCAGAUCAACCCUUGACUGGCUUCACAGUUAAAGAGAAGCCUCAGCGUGUGAGAGUUCAGCUGGACUGUGACAGAGGAAAGGUGUCCUUCUCUGAUCCUCAAACUAACAUCUGUCUCUGCUCAUUCACAACAACCUUCACAGAGACGGUCUUUCCUUUCUUAUAUAAUCGCUGCACAACUUCUCCUCUGAGGAUCUUACCAGUUAAACUGAUCGUAACAACAGAAAAUCACAGUUAAAUCUCUUUCUGCUUUUAUAGAUCAAUUAAGGUACAAUAAUUAGUUGUAUUCAUCGUUUUUCAUUUUAUGAUUCAAUAUUUGAUAUUCUGUUUUAGGGAAACUAAUGGAUAUUAAACACAUAUUUGAAUAUUAAAUUAUAUAUUAAGGUAAAAAAAAAAAAAAAAAAACUAACAAGAAUAUUAAACCUCUCAACAACACACCUGUUUGUAAUAUUCAGUAAAGCUGAACGUCUAGAGGAGAUUAUUAUAACUGUUUGAUUACAGGAGUUAAACUCUGCACUAGAUCUCCAGAACUUCAGGCGAAGACACUCUGUGUGUGUUACAAACUACUACAAUGUGUAAAAUUACAGUAUAUUAAUGAUUGCAUUACUUUCACAGUAAUUUCAUAUUCUAGCUAGUCAUAAAUUAAAUGUUUUAAUUUGUCACACAUCUGACAUGACUAGAUCAGAAGUUUGAACAUGAAUAUACAAGAUCCAAGACCCCAAACAAAUGGGAUCUUCAAUCACCAGUAUAUGGUGACUUCAAAACAAUUAAACAAGUACAUUUCUGACAGUGGCACAGUUAAAGACAAGAGCAGUAAUUACUGUGAUGUUACCAUCAUUCUGCUGUUCUUUCAGUCAUUGGUAAGAAAAUGAUCCAGCAUGCAUUGAUUUCAUUCACAGUACAUUUCUGACUAUGAUUUUUAAUACAAUCUUUUCAGUGUAUGUUUCAUUCGAUGACAGUUUAGCUAUUUGAGUUAUCUUGAGUUGUCAGCUGAGCCUAUAUUCACCAAUAUUGAUCAAUUGUGCUCAGAAACUGUGCAUCGGUGUGCUUUGGAUACCAAAACGACUCUCUGGUAAAGAACAUAAAUCCACUGUGGAGACAGAGGUAACAAUCAAACAGAAAUCUUCGCUCGUAAACCCUGAGCUUUACCUAAAGGUAGCUGAUUAACAUGUUACUGGGAUUCGGGAUGAGCUGGAAGCUGAGCCAAGUGCAGUGGGAGAUUCCGACAGAUGGUACGGCGAGAGGCGUAGCCUGCAGAGAGCAUGGGUACCAUAGGUUGGAUACCGCAUCCAUUCAGAACCACAGCUUCUUAGUUGAUAAAGCACAGUAGGGAGCGUGAAGGGAAUGACUUCCAGACGCACAGGACAGGACAGGACAGGACAGGACAGGACAGGACAGGACAGGACAGGACAGGACAGGACAGGACAGGACAGGACAGGACAGGACAGGACAGGACAAACUUCAUUCAGAAGGUAAGAUGUGCGUCUUCAGCAUUGAUCGCUAGGAAUAAACUGACAAAGGGGUUAAUGAAAGCAGAGGUAGAAAUAGCAGGAGGAAUCAGGGAAGAGGGGAAACAGGUGGAAGGAUUGGGUAAGUGGGAACAGCUGGGACUAAUGAAGUUAAAGUGAUGGUGUAGAGAAAGAGUGUGCAGGAUAACCACAAGAGGGGGACAGAGAAAGGAGGAACCCGGAUCAUUACAUUUGGUCUUUACUGAUCAGCAAGAACAACUGUGAGGCUUGACAUCAGGGGCCUGUUGCACAAAAGUAGAAUUAAGACAUCCGGGAUAAAUAACUGAGCUGAGCUCAAUAAAGCCAAAACAUGUGCGUCCAGGCUUAAUUGGUUGCACAAAGACCAAGCCAGGAUGAGCAGACACGGAUUCAUUAAGCCAGGUGAAACCAAUCCUGGAUAGGUGCGCGCUCACGGCUCACUCAAAUAGACCCCGCCACAGAUCACAGAUUAACUGAUUUACCUUGGCAACUAGAGCCGCGUACUUUCCCCCGUCGGAAGCACAAAUCCUCAUGGAGGCAUACGAGGAGGUAAAAGAUAUAAUUAAGAAGAAAGGCAACACCGCCACAGUGAUAAAGCAAAGAGAAAAAGCGUGGCAAAGUAUUGCAGACCGUCUGAAUGCGUAAGUAGUGCACAAUUACACACUCACCGCGCCGCUGAAACAUCACAAUUACAAAUCAAAUAUUUAAUUCACAUCUCCAAAAACGCAGUUGUACUGUAAUUAUGAAACGGUUAAAUUUUUUAUUGAAAUGCACUGCAUAUAUGAGUGAAAUUGUGUAACGUAACUCCAUCACACUGUAUAAAGCUAUGAUAUAUUAUUAUUAAAGCCUUACAUUAUUAUUUUACGUUACUACGCUCAGUACGGUUUAAUAUUAGCCGUUGUACUCCGCUUAUUAUGUUGUCCACCGGUUUUUUUUUUUUUGCUUGUUUCCCCUGCUUUUAUUAAUGUAAAGCAGCUUUGACAGAAUGAAACAAUUGUGAAAAGUGCUAUAUAAAUAACAUUUUCUUGAAUACAUAGAUGAGCUAUAAUAAUAAUCACUUUAAUUUAUAUAGCGCCUUUCAAAGGACCCAAGGUCGGUUGCUCACUGCACUGCAAAAAUGUCUUUCUUACUUAGUAUUUUUGUCUUGUUUUCAGUAAAAAAAAAAAUAUCUAAAAAAAAAUCUUAAAUAUUUUCUAGAGCAAAAUAACCUAGAAAAAUAAGCAAAAAACUCUGCCAGUGAAACAAGAGAACUUUUCUAAAAGUAAGUGUUUAUGAAAAAAGUAAACUUAUUUCAAGAUAAUUUUUCUUAUUAUAUUGACAGAUAUUUAAUUUUUUUGCUUGUUUUAAGCACACAUUUACUUGAAGUUUAUAUUUUGGUCUAAACCUAUACUUAUUUUGCUAGGUCAUUUAGAAAAUCAAGAAAAUACAUCUUUAUUGUUUUUUUUUAAAUAUAUUUUUACUGAAAACAAUACAAAAAUACCAAGUCAUUUUUGUCAGUGUGACUCCAUUAAAUGUUCUUGUGAUAAAGAAUGUGUGUGUGUGCGUGUGAUGUAGAUUAAACAUGAACGGGCCAAAACGGACAUGGCAGCAGGUCAAAAUCAAAUACAAGAACAUUCUACAGAAUGCAGUGAAAAAGAAUACCCACAGACAAGGCACGGGUGGUGGGUCACCAAAGGCUGACCUUACCCCAGCAGAGGACAUGGCCUUGGAGCUAAAUAAAGGCAGGCCCGUCUUAGAGGGGAUCCCUGGGGGGAAAGAGACGAGCAUAGGUUCCUCCCAAGAUGCCACCCGCUUCAUUCAAGUGUCUGGCAGCACUGUGUUCCUGUUAGAGCCACCAGCACAAGCACCAGACGAUGCUGAUCCAGUGAGUACUCCAUCAAAGGCAUACUGUAGGCCUGGCAUGUCUUGUCUACUAGCUUCAAUAUGAAUCCGAUUAAAUGUGAUGGGGUGAAAGCCCCAGUGCAGCAGCAACAGCACAUGAUGGAGACGAUGAUGAGGAGGAGACCAUCUCUCUGGAUUCCAGAAGGCAUGAGGACCCAGAUGCUAUACAGUGGGAAAACCAGCCUGGCAACAUAAGCUCACAAGCUAUCAGAAAGUUGUAAGGCAACCACCUCCGGCGCCAAAUAGAACUGGCAGACAUAGACAUUCAGUACAAGAAGAAAAAGCUAGAAAAUCUUGUACUGGAGUCCGAAAUAAAAAAGAGGACAAUUAGGAAACUGGACCUUGAAAUAAAAAAACUUGAGAGGGAGUUCCAAGAAGAUGAUACGGCUCAAAAUAAAAAUUAGCAAUCAGUACAACCAAGUCAUCGUUAUAAGGCACCAGCCUCUUUUGCCCACCCCCCCAGCACCAGGUGUGGCCACUAGCCUAUAUGAAGGCCCAAAAUUGUGUGUUCCUUUCUGCUCUGACAAUGGCAUGCCCAUUCUUGCGAGAUGUGGUGGAUGAAGAAGCACUUGUGCUGAGGAGAGCCUUCAGGCGAGAAAGGGUCUUCAGGGACCGGUUGGACCCACUGGCCUUCCCUGAUGACCAUCUAUAUGAAAGAUACAGGUUUUCUGCAGAUGGCAUCAGGUAUCUAUGCAGACUACUGGGUCCCAGGAUUAAGCACCGCACUGCACGGAGCCAUGCACUGAGUGUGGAGCAAAUGGUUUGUGUGGCCUUGCGCUUUUUUGCUAGUGGAGCCUUCCUGUACUCAGUGGGGGAUGCAGAACAGCUGAACAAGGCCACAAUUUGCCGCACAAUAAGGAGUGUGUGUCUGGCUAUCAAAGCAUUAGCAGAUGUCUUCAUCUCCUUCCCUGGCCACAGAAGACUCUGUGACAUGAAAGAGGAGUUCUAUAGGAUUGCAGGUUUCCCCAAUGUCAUUGGUGCAGUGGACUGCACACACAUAAGGAUAAAAGCCCCCUCAGGUGCCCAUGAGGCCGAUUUUGUGAAUAGGAAAUCCUUUCACAGCAUUAAUGUUCAGAUGGUCUGCAAUGCUGACUGUGUGAUCAGCAAUGUUGUGGCGAAAUGGCCUGGCUCAGUCCAUGACUCCAGAAUCUUUCGGGCCUCUGAAAUCUAUCAGUGCCUAUCUCAAGGUGAAUUCUCUGGUGGAUUGCUGGGAGACAGGGGGUAUGGCUGCCAGCCUUUUCUCCUGACACCUUUCACAGACCCCCAGGAAGCACAGCAGGCCUACAACCAUGCCCAUGCCAGGACCAGGGCCAGAGUUGAAAUGACCUUUGGCCUCCUGAGGGCACGCUUUCACUGCCUUCACAAAUUAAGGGUCAACCCUGUUAGGGCAUGUGAUAUUACUGUGGCUUGUGCUGUCCUCCACGAUGUGUCCUGCCUGAGGAAGGAGAGAGCCCCCAGAGUGCCACCAGCCAUGGACUGGGACAAUCCGGCAAUCUUCCCUGAUGACGACAGUGGUCGGCUGCUGAGGGACCAAUAUGUGUUGAAUUAUUUUAGUUAGUAUGUGUGGUUUCAAUUUAGGUAAAAAAUGUCCUGCUGUGGCAGAGGAAAUAGGUUUUUUUUGGGUUGGUUUUUUUAAAGAAUUUGGCCUCUUAUGAUGUUUGUGCGGUAUACUGUGUGUAAUACAAGGCUGCAGGGAGGCUACUGCAUCCAUUCAUUUGUCUGUUCAGUUGAUGUGUAUGGAUUUGUCCUGCAUUUAUUUUAGUGUGCAGACAUGCAGGGUGUGUUAUAUACAGACCUUUGAAUGUGUAUGUAUCAUUUUGUAUAAUAUGCUUUGAUUCUGUGCUUUCCAUCUUGUAGAGUCACUGUGACUUCAGUUUCGAAAGGAGCUGAUAGUUUACCUGCUUUGUUUUGUCCUUAUUCAAUAAAGGAACAUAAUGUUACACAUUGUGUUUUUAUAUUCA